GACGAACGCUGGCGGCGUGCUUAACACAUGCAAGUCGAGCGGUAAGGCCCUUUCGGGGGUACGACGAGCGGCGAACGGGUGAGUAACACGUGGGUGACCUGCCCUCAGCUCUGGGAUAAGCCUGGGAAACCGGGUCUAAUACUGGAUAUGACUCCAUGACGCAUGUUGGUGGGGUGGAAAGCCUUGUGCGGCUGAGGAUGGGCCCGCGGCCUAUCAGCUUGUUGGUGGGGUGAGGCCUACCAAGGCGACGACGGGUAGCCGGCCUGAGAGGACGGCCAGCCACAAUGGCACUGAAACACGGGCCAUACUCCUACGGGAGGGCAGCAGUGGGGAAGUUUUGUCGCAAUAGGGCGAAAGCCUGACGCAGCAAUGCCGCGUGAAGGAUGAAA
rnacentral:rRNA from 1 species